GUGGGGAAUAUUGCGCAAUGGGCGAAAGCCUGACGCAGCGACGCCGCGUGAGGGAUGAAGGCCUUCGGGUCGUAAACCUCUUUCAGCAGGGAAGAAGCGAAAGUGACGGUACCUGCAGAAGAAGCACCGGCUAACUACGUGCCAGCAGCCGCGGUAAUACGUAGGGGGCAAGCGUUGUCCGGAUUUACUGGGCGUAAAGCGCGCGUAGGCGGCUUGUUAAGUGUAGAGUGAAAGCUCCGGGCUCAACCCGGAAAUUGCUCUGCAUACUGGCAGGCUGGAGGGACGCAGAGGUCUGUGGAAUUCCUGGUGUAACGGUGAAAUGUGUUGAUAUCAGGAGGAACACCCAUGGCGAAGGCAGCAGACUGGGCGUUUCCUGACGCUGAGGCGCGAAAGCGUGGGUAGCAAACAGGAUUAGAAACCCUAGUAGUCC
rnacentral:rRNA from 1 species